UAGUGAGGAGUGCUGCGUUUGCUCCCUGAGUCUACUCGCCAGCCCACCGUCCUCCGCUGCCACAUCCCGCACACCCGCCCCUCUCCUGUACCAGGAACUUGCUACCACCAGCACCAUGCCCUACCAAUAUCCAGCGCUUACCCCGGAGCAGAAGAAGGAGCUGUCUGACAUCGCUCACCGCCUUGUGGCCCCGGGCAAGGGCAUCCUGGUUGCAGAUGAGUCCACUGGGAGCAUUGCCAAGCGGCUGCAGUCCGUUGGCACCGAGAACACCGAGGAGUUCUUGGUGUCAGCUCAGUCAUCAUUGAGCUGACAGCUGAUGACCGCAUGAACCCCUGCAUCGAGGGCGUCAUCCUCUUCCACGAGACACUCUAACAGAAGGCAGAUGAUGGGUGUCCUUUCCCCCAAGUUAUCAAAUCCAAGGGCGGUGUUGUGGGCAUCAAGGUAGACAAGGUCACCCUGGCAGGGACAAAUGGUGAGAUCACCACCCAAGGGCUGGAUGGGCUGUCUGAGCGCUGUGCCCAGAACAAGAAGGAUGGCGCUGACUUUGCCAAAUGGCGUUGUGUGCUGAAGAUUGGGGAGCACGCCCCCUCAACCAAUGUCCUGGCCCGUUACACCAGCAUCUGCCAGCAGAAUGACUUCGUGCCCAUCGUGGAGCCUGAAAUCCUCCCUGAUGUGGACCAUGACUUGAAGCGCUCAGUGUGUGACCGAGAAGGUGCUGGCUGCUGUCUACAAGGCUCUGAGCGACCACCACAUCUACCUGGAAGGCACCUUGCUGAAGCCCAACAUGGUUACCCCAGGCCACGCCUGCACUCAGAAGUUUUCUCACAAGGAGAUUGCCAUGGCGACUGUCACAGCUGCGCACCGCACAGUUCCUCCCCUCACCCGCACCCCCCGGCUGUCCCUGGGAUCAUCUUCCUUCUGGAGGCCAGAGUGAGGAGGAGGCGUCCAUCAACUUCAACGCCAUUAACAAGUGCCCGCUGCUGAAGCCCUGGGCCCUGACCUUCUCCUACGGCCAAGCCCUGCAGGCCUCUCUCUGUCCUGAAGGUCUGGGGUGGGAAGAAGGAAAGCAAGAAGGCGGCGCAGGAGGAGUACAUCAAGCGCGCCCUGGCCAACAGCCUCGCCUGUCAAGGAAAACACACCCCAAGAGGUCAGGCUGGGGGCUGCUGCCAACGAGUCCCUCUUCAUCUCUAACCAUGCCUACUAAGCGGAAGUGUUCCCAGGCUGCCCCCAACACUCCAGGCCCCGCCCCCUCCCACACUGUCUUGAAGAGGGGGCCUCCUACUCCGGGGCUCCAGUCUGGCUUGCCCACGCUCUUGCCUCCCUUGAGACAGUGAUGUGUGGUGUCGUCUGUGAAUGCUAAUUCCAUCGCCCUUUCCAGCACACUGCUAAUAAACAGCUAUUUAAGGGG